rnacentral:tRNA from 1 species
GCCGUUCGUUCAAGGGCAGGACACGUCCUCGGUAAGGAUGGGAUGGAGGUUCGAUUCCUCUCGACGGCU